CUGAUGGUCUGAACCAUGUAGGGGCAGAACCGGGAACAGCGCUUUUGGGCCUCAGGGCAAACAUCCCAAAAUUGACCUUCAGACAACUCUGUAAUUCAAGAUUUGCCCUGCAAAUGGGUGUGACUGAAAUUUUUUGUGCCAGUGUAAACUUAUAUAGGUAUUGCUGGGUGAACUGGGGAGACCCUGGGCCCUGGUGCCUUGAUCCAGCCAGACCAGAAGGAGUCGCCGAAGAUUCUUGGUCUUGUCACGAGAAUGAAUUCAAGAACAGACACAUAAACCUGGAUGAAUAACACAAGCAGAAAAGUUUGUGAAAGUGAAAAGUGAGCUCUGGAGGAGUUUCCUGUGAUGGCAUUGGCCAUUUUGGGCCUAUCUGGUUUGAUCCGGCUUCUUGUGGAGUGCUGUGGGGACAGGCCUCUGACCUUCCCAGUAUCUGCCCAUGACUUCCUCAUUGUUGACCUCCAG